UACGGAGGAUCCAAGCGUUAUCCGGAAUCAUUGGGUUUAAAGGGUCCGUAGGCGGUUUAAUAAGUCAGUGGUGAAAGCCCAUCGCUCAACGGUGGAACGGCCAUUGAUACUGUUAGACUUGAAUUAUUAGGAAGUAAACUAGAAUAUGUAGUGUAGCGGUGAAAUGCUUAGAGAUUACAUGGAAUACCAAUUGCGAAGGCAGGUUACUACUAAUGGAUUGACGCUGAUGGACGAAAAGCGUGGGUAGCGAACAGG
rnacentral:rRNA from 1 species